rnacentral:misc_RNA from 1 species
GAUGAAGAACGUAGCGAAAUGCGAUAAGUAAUGUGAAUUGCAGAAUUCAGUGAAUCAUCGAAUCUUUGAACGCACAUUGCGCCCGCCAGUAUUCUGGCGGGCAUGCCUGUUCGAGCGUCAUUACAACCCUCAGGCCCCCGGGCCUGGCGUUGGGGAUCGGCGGAGCCCCCCGUGGGCACACGCCGUCCCCCAAAUACAGUGGCGGUCCCGCCGCAGCUUCCAUCGCGUAGUAGCUAACACCUCGCGACUGGAGAGCGGCGCGGCCACGCCGUAAAACACCCAACUCUUCUGAAGUUGACCUCGAAUCAGGUAGGAAUACCCGCUGAACUUAAGCAUAUCUAAGCGGAGGA